rnacentral:rRNA from 1 species
UUGACCUCAAAUCAGGUAGGACUACCCGCUGAACUUAAGCAUAUCAAUAAGCGGAGGAAAAGAAACUAACAAGGAUUCCCCUAGUAACUGCGAGUGAAGCGGGAAAGCUCAA